rnacentral:rRNA from 1 species
AACGAACGCUGGCGGCAGGCUUAACACAUGCAAGUCGAGCGCCCCGCAAGGGGAGCGGCAGACGGGUGAGUAACGCGUGGGAAUCUGCCCAUCUCUACGGAAUAACGCCUGGAAACGUGUGCUAAUACCGUUUACGUCCUGCGGGAGAAAGAUUUAUCGGAGAUGGAUGAGCCCGCGUUGGGUUAGCUAGUUGGUGGGGUAAAGGCCUACCAAGGCGACGAUCCAUAGCUGGUCUGAGAGGAUGAUCAGCCACACUGGGACUGAGACACGGCCCAGACUACUACGGGAGGCAGCAGUGGGGAAUAUUGGACAAUGGGCGCAAGCCUGAUCCAGCCAUGCCGCGUGUGUGAUGAAGGCCCUAGGGUUGUAAAGCUCUUGCACCGGUGAAGAUAAUGACGGUAACCGGAGAAGAAGCCCCGGCUAACUUCGUGCCAGCCGCCGCCGUAAAAC